AUAUCCUCUACCAAAACACUAGUUGUCUUUAUUGUAUUUUUGUACCUGUAGAAUGUAUAUGGCCCACCCAUCUGUAUCAAAACCAGUGUAGAAUGUUAACAAAUAUGACUGCUUAGCAGAUGAGGAUUCAAUGUUCAUGGUUUUUAAUCUAUUAUCAAGGCUGCUUGUUGUGAUUUGAUGUGAACAAUUACAAGUAUGAGUUUGGUGUCUUCCCUUUUUGAUUUUUGAUUUUUAUAUUUGCUUGUCCGCCAACUUUAAUAUAUUUUGCAUGAGUUGAAUUGGAGUCACUCUGUUAAACCUUUCUACUGAGAAUUUUAGGUGUAUCUUGGGAUGCUUUACAUCAUCUUCUGGGUUGAAGAUUUGACUCAGCAAAAUCUCUUAGACUGUUGUGGAUAUUGGUGGUUUUCUAAGUCUUUAAUUUAUGAGUCUAGCUCACUUCCAACAUGCUUUGCAGUGAAUAGGCAUUAAUUGGAAAACUCUAUGGGAUUUAGAGAUGGAAACAAUGUAACGUUGUCUGAAUUGGAAAUGGUAUUUGAAUGAGAGAGUUAGUUAGAAGAUAAAAGAACUUUAGAAAAAAAAAAGGAAAAUUGAAGAGAGGUAGCUCGGAUUACAUUAUUCAAACAUGAAAAUAAUGUUAUUACCUUGAACUCCUUUCAAGUCGACAUACUUGAGUUUGGAGGUCAAAAAGGUCCUUCUUACUGUGAUCAUUGAGAUUCAUGAGUGUGACUUUGUUGGAUGGUGGUUUUUCUUUGAAUCAACAGUGGAAAUUUACCAUGAAACCAGGCUUGUGCUAAGGGGGGGUUGGUUGCUUGGUUUAUCGGGAUUGCAUUGUUCAAACUUCUCUUGGGUUCUAUUUCUUCUUUGCCUCUUCAAGAUAAAUAUUCAGAUAAGAUUAAUAAACAAAACCUAUUCAAAGAAGGGCCAUUUCUGACUCAGGUGGAUUUUUCAAUGAAACUUGCCACUGGACUUUCUCAUGCAACUUGGAAUAUUGGUUUUAAUAAUUAAGACAUUAUUGGAAAAUGGUAUUGAGCAUGUGUUGAACCCUGAAGCAAGAAAAAUGCAUGGGGGAUGUAAAAUUCAAUGUUGAAAGGUUCUUGAUGUUGAAACUCUCUAAGUUGCAGAUGUGAUUGAUCGUGGAAUGUAUAAAGAUUUUCCUGCAUGGUUACUCUAUUUGGCAGGUUUUCCUCAGCCAACAUUUAGAUGACUGAGAAUUGGUGUUUAAUUUACCAUCCUCCUUAAGAGCUUAGAUUUAGGUAUGGUCUAAGAUUUAAAGGCAGUUUUUUUCUGGAUAUAUCAGAUUCUUUUCAGACUUGUCUUUUUCUUUGAUGCUUCUUUCAAUGAGUGUUUCCAAUAAUUUUUUAUAUGAAUGUGGAAGAAGUAUACACUUGGUUAGAACUGAUGUUCACUACAUCAUUCUACCAAUGUGAGUCCUCCAGAAGUGUAUUGUUUUGCUGUGAGAUAUGUGUUCUGAAUAUGGGGAGAGAGCACUCCAUUUUGAUUUUGGCUGCAUUAGCUUGUAUAGGUGAUGAUAUUUGUGUUCUUCAGGGUACCACAGUUUCUUUAUGAUUUUCGAUAGCAUGCAUAGCUGAUCUGAACCCCAUAUGUAGUCCAGAACCUUUUAAAGGAAAAUCAAAUUCCGUGGAGGCAGCACUUGGAAAUUUGUCAGGGCUCUCAAGGUUGCCUGACUAUUCAGUAAUAAAUUGAAUGGGGUUCACGGGAGUACACAAAAAUUCUCUUUUCUUUUUGUUGAUUAUAGUGCAUGUGCAUAGAUUGCUGGGGAUCUUCAACAUGCAAAAUACUUUUAAAUUCUUGAGGAAGAAUGUCUCAUAUGAACAUGCCAUGUUCAGAAAUAUUUGUUCUGGAAAUUUUUGAGGUUGCACAAUUGUCUUGAUUCCCUUUUCUUUUGUGAAGUUCUGGGAAUUAUGAUAUGUAGUUUAGUGUUUCUUCUUCUUCUUCUUUCUUUCUUUCUCCUUUUAAUUUCUUUUGUGUUGUCUUUGCACAAUGAUUCUACUAGGUUGGUGGGGAAUACUCUCUGGGGUUUGCUGACAUGGCUAAUAGAACUUUUCAGUUGCAACUUGGAGAUUGAUGCCUAUUCUAAUUCUGUGUUUUGCGUAUUCACUGGAUAAUUAUCAAGGACCUUUUCAUAAAGUUGGAGUUUCACAUACCUUAUAUGCCCCAUGUUAUUGUUUAAUAUUGGAUUGAACCGAUUUCAGAGAGGGGGAUGGGAGUGGGAAGGCAAUGCUGCUUUGGCUGUUUUAUGGUAGGCUUGUAGUCUAGGUUUCAACUCUGGUGAAUGGAAAAUUUUCUUAUUUCCUGAGAGCUGCUAGAAAGGAUGUGGUGAAAGCUAAUGAAGUGUCAUUGCUACCUUUAUACAUCUUAGCCAUAGGAGCAUGGAGUUUGCAGAGAAAAAAUGAAACCUCUUGAACACUGAGGACAAUUAAUCUGUUUAUGGUCAGACUUGUCAAUUGCUUUUUGGUGCUUCUCUAAUGAUUGCUGGUUCAGGUCACUGACUGGGAUCCUUAUCCUCUUCAAUUAGUUUUUCUGUGCCAAAUCAAUGAACUUUUUGAGGGAUUUAAGUAUUUCUCUUCAUUAUUUCAUCAUUGUCCUUUACCCCCCACUUUUAAUGGUUUGUCUCUUUAUCCUGAUUGAGCAUUAUAUUGACAAAGCUCUUCUUCUCAAUGUUAUUGCCGCCUUUAUAUGGAUAAUCUUAUAAGCACAAAAUUAUUCAGGGCUACUGAAAAUUUUCAUUCCCAUGUACUCAUGGGCAAUAUCAUUCAUUCCUAUUGCAUGUGACCCUUCUUAUCCAUUCAUAGACAUAAAAUACCCAGACACAGACAUCUAAAUUAACAUGUUCCAAAUUUGUAUGUAUAGAAUGUACUCAAUUCAUUGUUCAAUGUACACUUACCAAGUGUAUUUCUGUCCCUAGAAUUCUGUUUUAAUUGCCAAGCCCUCAUCCAAGGUGUGUAUUCCCAUCAUUCUUCACUCUUUCUUUUUAUUCUUGCAUAUAUCCUAUGCAAUCCAGAAGUCCCAACUCUUUCACUGAGUACCAUUUCAUGAGUUUGGAUAAGGUCUAUUUGAAGUAACUAGUGUGGCCUUUGGGUUUGACAAGUCAUAAAGCUGAUGAAUGAAGAAGUGCUGGAAGGUGGAUUUGAUAUCAACGGAUAUACCAAAGAAGCUUUUGCUGUCGUGAAGACUGGUUUAAUGAUGUCAUUCAUAUCUAUGGCUGAUGCCUGGUUUUGUUCCAAUACCUUAUGAACAGAAAUUUCACUACAGUCUGAAAGUAGGCAAGCUUGUUUGGGGGUUAGAUGUAGCAGAUAGAGGAACUGGGGGAGGUAGGAGGCAUAUGAUUUGGUUAACUAUGAGAUUAAUCUGUAAGAUUAUGAGGUGAAGUCCCUUGAGAUUUUGGUGACAGAAUCAGAGAGUUUGAA